rnacentral:rRNA from 1 species
AUACAUGCAAGUCGAGCGGACAGAAGGGAGCUUGCUCCCGGAUGUUAGCGGCGGACGGGUGAGUAACACGUGGGUAACCUGCCUGUAAGACUGGGAUAACUCCGGGAAACCGGAGCUAAUACCGGAUAGUUCCUUGAACCGCAUGGUUCAAGGAUGAAAGACGGUUUCGGCUGUCACUUACAGAUGGACCCGCGGCGCAUUAGCUAGUUGGUGAGGUAACGGCUCACCAAGGCGACGAUGCGUAGCCGACCUGAGAGGGUGAUCGGCCACACUGGGACUGAGACACGGCCCAGACUCCUACGGGAGGCAGCAGUAGGGAAUCUUCCGCAAUGGACGAAAGUCUGACGGAGCAACGCCGCGUGAGUGAUGAAGGUUUUCGGAUCGUAAAGCUCUGUUGUUAGGGAAGAACAAGUGCAAGAGUAACUGCUUGCACCUUGACGGUACCUAACCAGAAAGCCACGGCUAACUACGUGCCAGCAGCCGCGGUAAUACGUAGGUGGCAAGCGUUGUCCGGAAUUAUUGGGCGUAAAGGGCUCGCAGGCGGUUUCUUAAGUCUGAUGUGAAAGCCCCCGGCUCAACCGGGGAGGGUCAUUGGAAACUGGGAAACUUGAGUGCAGAAGAGGAGAGUGGAAUUCCACGUGUAGCGGUGAAAUGCGUAGAGAUGUGGAGGAACACCAGUGGCGAAGGCGACUCUCUGGUCUGUAACUGACGCUGAGGAGC